rnacentral:rRNA from 1 species
GACGAACGCUGGCGGCGUGCUUAACACAUGCAAGUCGAACGGAAGGGCCCUGCUUUUGUGGGGUGCUCGAGUGGCGAACGGGUGAGUAACACGUGAGUAACCUGCCCUUGACUUUGGGGUAACUUCAGGAGACUGGGGCUAAUACCGGAUAGAAGCUCCUGCUGCAUGGUGGGGGUUGGAAAGUUUCGGCGGUUGGGGCUGGACUCGCGGCUUAUCAGCUUGUUGGUGGGGUAGUGGCUUACCAAGGCUUUGACGGGUAGCCGGCCUGAGAGGGUGACCGGCCACAUUGGGACUGAGAUACGGACCAGACGCCUACGGGAGGCAGUAGUGGGGAACAUUGCACAAUGGGCCGAAGCCUGAGGCAGCAACGUCGCGUGCGGGAUGACGGGUUUCGGGUGGUAAACAGCUGUCGCCGGUGACGAAGCGUGAGUGACGGUAACGGGUAAAGAAGCACCGGCUAACUACGUG